GCGUCUUAAGCAUGCAAGUCGAGCGGGCUUAUUCGGGCAACUGGAUAAGUUAGCGGCGAACUGGUGAGUAACACGUAGGUAAUCUGCCGUGAAGUGGGGGAUAACCCAUGGAAACAUGGACUAAUACCGCAUAUACUCUUGCUACAUAAGUAGAGUAGAGGAAAGUUUUUUCGCUUCACGAUGAGCCUGCGGCCUAUUAGCCUGUUGGUAGGGUAAUGGCCUACCAAAGCUACGAUAGGUAGCCGACCUGAGAGGGUGACCGGCCACAUUGGGACUGAGAUACGGCCCAGACUCCUACGGGAGGCAGCAGCUGAGAAUCUUCCACAAUGGACGAAAGUCUGAUGGAGCGACAUCGCGUGAGGGAUGAAGGCCUUCGGGUUGUAAACCUCGGAAAUUAUCGAAGAAUGAGUGACAGUAGAUAAUGUAAGCCUCGGCUAACUACGUGCCAGCAGCCGCGGUAAUACGUAGGAGGCAAACGUUGCUCGGAUUUACUGGGCGUAAAGGGUGAGUAGGCGGAUUUAUAAGUCUAAGGUGAAAGACCGAAGCUCAACUUCGGGAACGCCUUGGAUACUGUAAGUCUUGGAUAUUGUAGGGGGAUGAUGGAAUUCUCGGUGUAGCGGUGGAAUGCGCAGAUAUCGAGAGGAACACCUAUAGCGAAGGCAGUCAUCUGGGCAUUUAUCGACGCUGAAUCACGAAAGCUAGGGGAGCAAACAGGCUUAGAUACCCUGGUAGUCCUAGCCGUAAACGUUGUACACUAGGUGCUCCUAUUUAAAUAGGAGUGCCGUAGCUAACGUCUUAAGUGUACCGCCUGAGGAGUAUGCCCGCAAGGGUGAAACUUAAAGAAAUUGACGGGUCCCCGCACAAGUGGUGGAGCAUGUGGUUUAAUUCGAUGAUACGCGAAAAACCUUACCUGGGUUUGAAUUGUUAGAUGAAUGAUUUAGAGAUAAGUCAGACCGCAAGGGACGUUUAACAUAGGUGCUGCAUGGCUGUCGUCAGCUCGUGUCGUGAGAUGUUGGGUUUAAGUCCCGCAACGAGCGCAACCCUCACCCUCUGUUGCUACCGAGUAAUGUCGAGCACUCUUAGGGGACUGCCUACGUUCAAGUAGGAGGAAGGUGGGGAUGAUGUCAAGUCCUCAUGGCCCUUAUGUCCAGGGCUACACACGUGCUACAAUGGCAAGUACAAAGAGAAGCAAGACCGCGAGGUGGAGCAAAACUCAAAAAAGUUGCCUCAGUUCGGAUUGGAGUCUGAAACUCGACUCCAUGAAGUUGGAAUCACUAGUAAUCGUAGAUCAGAACGCUACGGUGAAUACGUUCCCGGGGAUUGUACACACCGCCCGUCACGCCAUCGGAGUUGGUUUUACCUGAAGCCGUUAGCCUAACCGCAAGGAGGGCGGCGUCGAAGGUGG
rnacentral:rRNA from 1 species